rfam:Lupinus angustifolius cultivar Tanjil chromosome LG17, whole genome shotgun sequence.
AAUAACCAAAUAUAAUACUUGGACUAAGGGUCAAAUUGGUAAUUUUUCUUACAUCUCCCCCCUAGGGCGCAAGUGUGU